rnacentral:rRNA from 1 species
GAUGAACGCUGGCGGCGUGCCUAAUACAUGCAAGUCGAGCGAACAGACGAGGAGCUUGCUCCUCUGACGUUAGCGGCGGACGGGUGAGUAACACGUGGAUAACCUACCUAUAAGACUGGGAUAACUUCGGAAAACCGGAGCUAAUGCCGGAUAAUAUAUUGAACCGCAUGGUUCAAUAGUGAAAGACGGUUUUGCUGUUACUUAUAGAUGGAUCCGCGCAGUAUUAGCUAGUUGGUAAGGUAACGGCUUACCAAGGCAACGAUGCGUAGCCGACCUGAGAGGGUGAUCGGCCACACUGGAACUGAGACACGGUCCAGACUCCUACGGGAGGCAGCAGUAGGGAAUCUUCCGCAAUGGGCGAAAGCUGGACGGAGCAACGCCGCGUGAGUGAUGAAGGUCUUCGGAUCGUAAAACUCUGUUAUUAGGGAAGAACAAAUGUGUAAGUAACUAUGCACGUCUUGACGGUACCUAAUCAGAAAGCCACGGCUAACUACGUG